rnacentral:rRNA from 1 species
GACGAACGCUGGCGGCGUGCCUAAUACAUGCAAGUAGAACGCUGAAGGAGGAGCUUGCUCUUCUGGAUGAGUUGCGAACGGGUGAGUAACGCGUAGGUAACCUGCCUGGUAGCGGGGGAUAACUAUUGGAAACGAUAGCUAAUACCGCAUAAGAGUAGAUGUUGCAUGACAUUUACUUAAAAGGUGCAAUUGCAUCACUACCAGAUGGACCUGCGUUGUAUUAGCUAGUUGGUGGGGUAACGGCUUACCAAGGCGACGAUACAUAGCCGACCUGAGAGGGUGAUCGGCCACACUGGGACUGAGACACGGCCCAGACUCCUACGGGAGGCAGCAGUAGGGAAUCUUCGGCAAUGGACGGAAGUCUGACCGAGCAACGCCGCGUGAGUGAAGAAGGUUUUCGGAUCGUAAAGCUCUGUUGUAAGAGAAGAACGGGGGUGAGAGUGGAAAGUUCACACUGUGACGGUAUCUUACCGGAAAGGGACGGCUAACUACGUG